rnacentral:sRNA from 1 species
GAAUUACUGAGCUUAUAAAGGCUCACACAAUUAGCGCAGGCUCUUUUAGAGCCCUUUCCCCUAUGCCCAGAGCGCCCAACGCUUUGGGCUUUUUUUG